AUUGAACGCUGGCGGCAUGCCUUACACAUGCAAGUCGAACGGCAGCACGGGUGCUUGCCCCUGGUGGCGAGUGGCGAACGGGUGAGUAAUACAUCGGAACAUGUCCUGUAGUGGGGGAUAGCCCGGCGAAAGCCGGAUUAAUACCGCAUACGAUCCACGGAUGAAAGCGGGGGACCUUCGGGCCUCGCGCUAUAGGGUUGGCCGAUGGCUGAUUAGCUAGUUGGUGGGGUAAAGGCCUACCAAGGCGACGAUCAGGAGCUGGUCUGAGAGGACGACCAGCCACACUGGGACUGAGCCACGGCCCAGACUCCUACGGGAGGCAGCAGUGGGGAAUUUUGGACAAUGGGCGAAAGCCUGAUCCAGCAAUGCCGCGUGUGUGAAGAAGGCCUUCGGGUUGUAAAGCACUUUUGUCCGGAAAGAAAUCCUUGGCUCUAAUACAGUCGGGGGAUGACGGUACCGGAAGAAUAAGCACCGGCUAACUACGUG
rnacentral:rRNA from 1 species